rfam:Citrus clementina cultivar Clemenules unplaced genomic scaffold scaffold_3, whole genome shotgun sequence.
GCUUUAAGUGAUGAUGAUUUGAUUUUGCACAUACUUUCUGGUUUAGGACCUGAAUAUAAUUAUGUUGCUACUUACAUAACUGGUCAAAUAGGUGUUGGAAAAAUGAAUGUAAAUGAGGCAUAUGCAAUGUUGUUCACUCAAG